CGCUGGCGGCACGCCUAAUACAUGCAAGUCGAACGGGGUAGCAAUACCUAGUGGCAGACGGGUGAGUAACAUGUGGGUAUCUUCCCUUUGGUGAGGAAUAACACGAGGAAACUUGUGCUAAUACCUCAUAAGUCUUUACGGAGAAAGCUUUAUGCGCCAAUGGAUGAGCCUGCACUUGAUUAGUUAGUUGGUAGGGUAAAAGCCUACCAAGACUUUGAUCAAUAGCUGAUUUGAGAGGAUGAUCAGCCACAUUGGGACUGAGACACGGCCCAAACUCCUACGGGAGGCAGCAGUAGGGAAUCUUGCACAAUGGAGGAAACUCUGAUGCAGCGAUGCCGCGUGAGUGAAGAAGGCCCUUGGGUUGUAAAGCUCUUUCGUCGGGGAAGAAAAUGACUGUACCCGAAUAAGAAGGUCCGGCUAACUUCGUGCCAGCAGCCGCGGUAAUACGAAGGGACCUAGCGUAGUUCGGAAUUACUGGGCUUAAAGAGUUCGUAGGUGGUUAAAAAAGUUGGUGGUGAAAUCCCAGAGCUUAACUCUGGAACUGCCAUCAAAACUUUUUAGCUAGAGUAUGAUAGAGGAAAGCAGAAUUUCUAGUGUAGAGGUGAAAUUCGUAGAUAUUAGAAAGAAUACCAAUUGCGAAGGCAGCUUUCUGGAUCAUUACUGACGCUGAGGAACGAAAGCAUGGGUAGCGAAGAGGAUUAGAUACCCUCGUAGUCCAUGCCGUAAACGAUGUGUGUUAGAUGUUGGAAAUUUUUUUUCAGUAUCGCAGCGAAAGCAUUAAACACACCGCCUGGGGAGUACGACCGCAAGC
rnacentral:rRNA from 1 species